AGCAGCCGCGGUAAUUCCAGCUCCAAUAGCGUAUAUUAAAGUUGUUGCAGUUAAAAAGCUCGUAGUUGAAUUUCGGGAUCAAUUUAUUGGUCGUGCUAUUGUACGUACUGGUAUUAUUGAUUCCUACCUUCUGACGAACCAUGAUGUCAUUAAUUUGGUGUCUUGGGGAAUCAGGACUGUUACUUUGAAAAAUUAGAGUGUUUAAAGCAGGCUCACGCUUGAAUACAUUAGCAUGGAAUAACGAAAUAGGACGUUUGAUUCUAUUUUGUUGGUUUCUAGGAUCGACGUAAUGAUUAAUAGGGAUAGUUGGGGGCAUUAGUAUUCAAUUGUCAGAGGUGAAAUUCUUGGAUUUAUUGAAGACUAACUACUGCGAAAGCAUUUGCCAAGGAUGUUUUCAUUAAUCAAGAACGAAAGUUAGGGGAUCGAAGACGAUCAGAUACCGUCGUAGUC
rnacentral:rRNA from 1 species